UACGUAGGGUGCGAGCGUUGUCCGGAAUUAUUGGGCGUAAAGAGCUCGUAGGCGGUUUGUCGCGUCGACUGUGAAAACCUACAGCUUAACUGUGGGCUUGCAGUCGAUACGGGCAGACUUGAGUUCGGUAGGGGAGACUGGAAUCCUGGUGUAGCGGUGAAAUGCGCAGAUAUCAGGAGGAACACCGGUGGCGAAAGCGACUUCCUGGUCCAGCAUCGACGUUCAGGCACGAAAGCGUGGGGAGCAAACAGG
rnacentral:rRNA from 1 species